UAUACAGGAUAUAGAGAGUGUCGGUUAACCGGGCAUGUAAGUUAAGUGGAAGUCGGUUGAGAUAGCUACGAUAUUAUUAUUCUCUCUGUUUCUACCAUUGACCUAGUUACAGGGCCCGAUUAUCUUCUCAGCUGACCCCUCUGAAGGAAAUUAUCUUCAAUCAGGCUGGUUCAUUGUUGACGUCGGCCCCUGGCCAGAAGGGAACAGAGGAACACAUAGACUUCCCAAGAAAUGAAGCCUAAUUUCUCUGCAAGAUAUACCAACUGAACCAAUUAGGAGGCACCCCUCCAAAGAAUCACCAAAUUAGAAUUCUGCACACAUGUGACCCUCUUCCUCUCCCCUUCAACUGUCUCCAUUCUAGAGGUCACCCUAUGGAAAAAGAAGGAAUCUGUCCCUGGAGCCUGGGCUCAGGAGCAUCAUAGGACACAUUCAUGUCCCCUGACAAGCUCUGAUCAUGCACCUUCAUGACCUGACCCAGUUAAUUAGCAGAGUGGGCAGCAGCAGUACUCCUGAAGUCAUUUAUACACCAGGACAGCCAACAGUCGUCUUCAACCAGAACGCAUUCCACAGAGAAAACUGACAGCCACAUAUCCGAACUGCCAGAUGGUUACAUGUGUCUACAAAACCUCCACAUCAUUGACUGUUUCCAACUUCGGCCAGGAUCUAGGGCCACAAAAUAAUCAACCUGGGGCCGCUGACCGGAAGGCAGCCCCGGAAAACUUCCCGUGGGAAGAGUUCCAGAAAUUGCCCGGACUUUAACAAGUCCCGCUGUGCUGGCUGCGAGCCUCAGACCGUCAGAGGCCACCGCGACUCGCCUUGCCCGAAUGCCAGCAAUCCCGCCGAAGCACGGAGCCCUGGACUUAGGAAACAUUCCCCGGUACAUUUUUACAGAUUUGAAAAGCAGGAAGGGAAAAACAUUUCGAGCCCAAAGGAGAAAUCUCAGAGUCCUGGGGGCACCGAGGGGCCAGCGAGGUCCCCAGGCGCUGUACACACGUCCAACCUCCCUCCUCCACGCGCCCUGCUCCCCCACCCUCUUCCCAUCCCUCCUCCCCCAGGCAGAACCCUCCCCACGCAGUGGCCAUCCCCACGCCCGCGCUGUGUCCCCUUCACGCCCCGUGCACCCACUAGCGCCUCCUGCGCGCUCCCAUGCACCCCGACGUCGCGUGGGCGCCCCCCCUUAUCCCUCACCCGGGUCCCCACUCUCUUCUGCUCAGACGGCGUAGAGGAAGCCGAUCGGGACUGGGUUCUUAGUGCGACUUGGGGGCGCGGGGACGUGGAGGGCGAGGCGGGGCAG